CUGGGAUCAUGACCUGAGCUGAAGGCAGACACUUAACGCCUGAGCGCCCCCGGCGCCCUGCUUUUUACUUUUUCAACACUCUUUUCUGAUUGUUGUGUGGAGUACCUUGAAUUGCCAUUUCCUUUGCAACUCUCUUGAAGAGGCAAUAAAAUAUAGAGCUAAGAGAUGUUAGCUACAUAAUCAGUACCAUUCUUAUAUUUAAAGUAAAAGUCCUGUCUGAUAUGAUUGGUUGUUUCUCAAUGAAGCAAAAAGUCAGUUAAGCAAAGGACCUAUAAAAAAAUGAUACCUUAAAAGCUUUUUAUUCUUAAAUCAUAUAUGCACAUUUAUUUGCUAGUUUUGAUGUAAGGCUAGGGGUGUGUCUUUGAGCAUGGCUCCAAGAAUGGUGUUAUCUUUUUCUUGCAUAAUCUGUACUCAGAUGAAUCUCCUACAGUUUCUAUUUUUGGAUUCUUUGAAGUGGAGCAUGAAAUUAGAUAUGUAUGAUGCAAUUUUUUUUAACUUUUUAUUUUGAAAUAAUUUAUAGACUCACAGGAAGUUGCAAAGAAAGUAGAGAGGUCACGGUAUACUCUUCACCCAGAUUCCCCCAUUGGUUACAUCUUAUGUAACUAUAGUAUACUAUCAAAACCAGGAAAUUGACAUUGGAACAAUGUGUGCAUAGUUCUGUGCCGAUUGUGUAAUCACACCGCAAAGAUCUCCUUCCUCUUGCCCCUCUAUAGGUCACACCAUCCUUUCCCCACCAUCUCUGACCCUGGCAAUCACUAAUCUGUUUUCCAUCUCUUUAAUUUUGUCAUUUUGAGAAUGUCAUAUGAUAUGUGAUCUUUUAAGACUGGUUUUGUUCACAGUAUAAUGCCCUUGAGGUCCAUCAAAGUUGUUGAGUAUAUUAAUAAUUAAACUCAAAUAAUUUAUUUGUCUCUUCUUCUAAUCAAUUUAGAAUGAGUAAAGAUAAAAGUUAAAAUUUAAAAUUAAACUUAAAAUUAUUAAAUGUAUAUAUUGUUACUUUAUGCUUAGAAUAUCAGUAGAUUAAAGAACAUAAAUGUGAUCAUCUUGGUAAAUUCUAUUCUCAGGUUUUCCAGUUGACAGAUGAGAUGUAGAAAUAAAAGAAUUUUGUAAUACAGCAUGCCCAUGGAUGACCCUUCCACUUCAGUCUUGGAUGUCAUGUCACACAACAGGCUGUUCAUUAUGGCUUCCCAGCUGUCUACCAUGGAGCCAAUGAUAUAGUCUACAAGGUGCUGAGAGAGCAGGAGUUAGCUCCCCAUAGACUGAACAUCCACCUCUUGGCAAGGACAGAUAAGGGAACUGGUGUUUUAAUUCCUUUUCUUUUUAUUCCCUCCUUGGACUGUUCCAUGAUUUCUUCUUAUAAAACUUGUAUAAGAGUCCCACAUGCCUAGUGAAUGUGCCUAGUGGACAAUCUGCUGUUGUCUCCUGUUCACUGUGAAGUAUGGGCCAGUGCAGUAACAUAGGAGUCAGCAAACUUUUUCUGUAAAGAGCAGGAUAGUAAAUAUUUCUGUGAGCCAUAUGUUCUUUGUAACAACUACUUAACUCUGCCAUUGUCAUGCUACAGACAAUACAUAAACAACUGUGUCUGGGUUCCAAUAAAGCUUUAUAGAUACUGAAGUUUGAAUGUCAUUAUUUUCAUGUGUCACAAAGUAUUUUCCUUGAUUAUUUUUCAACCAUUGAAAAAUGCAACAACCAUUCUUAGCUCAGGGGCCAUAUUAAAUCAGGUGGUGGGCCAGAUUUGGCCUGUGGGCUAGGCUUUAGUUUGCUUACCCAUGUGGUAACAUGUUGUAUCUUGUGCUUCAUGUGUUCCCUUGUCCCCCUUCCCCUGCCUCCCACUGCCCUGGGCUGGCAUCUGCCAAAUAAAUCCAUUGCUCAGGCUCUCCCUUUUAGGACAGAGUCUGUGUCUAUAUUUCUGUUUUCUGCAUCCACUCUUGAUUUGUUUCUGUUGUUUUCUAUAUAUUUUUUUCAUUUUUCUGUCACAUCAUCUUGCUUUAUCCAUUAUUAUUUUAGUUUGAGUUUCAGAUA